GCUUAUUCUCAGGGCGGGGCGAAAUUCCCCACCGGCGGUAAAUCAGCCUACGCUGAAAGCCCGCGAGCGCUUCUGGUGAAAACCGGAAGGUCAGCAGAUCCGGUGUAAUUCCGGGGCCGACGGUUAGAGUCCGGAUGGGAGAGAGUAACG
rfam:Kluyvera intermedia strain CAV1151, complete genome.